AGAUUAUACUGUAAUAGAUGCCAACAAAUGAAGGAAGAUGGCAAAGCACAGGGUAAAUGGCUUCAUUCAAGAGGUAUCUGAGCUAUGGUGGCGAGUCUAUGUUUGAGUUGACCCAAAGGAUUACCUUGGAGCCAUGGCAGCAGCUGCCGGGUGAGGACAUCUUCUGGACCACUUCCAAAGGUUUUGGUCUCAUCCACUAGCCCGGGGCCAACCAAAGUGAGGUCCACAGGCCAAGUCUGGCCCUUCACACAGUUUGGAACUUCAUGUUGGUUCAGAGUGUGAAAAGGUCAGACUACUUUAACGUACUUUUGUACAUAUAUAUAUGUCUAGUUUUAGUCUGUUAAAAUGCCAAUACAUCGAGUUUAGUAUGAAAGAUUUCACACCUCAUGCAUGUGGUCAGUUUUUAUGUAAGUUUUGUAAGUUUUAUGGUAAUAUUUUUGAAUCAUGGUUUCUGUUUGUGCUAUUAUCUCUGGGUUUUGAGUAUUUUUAAGGCUCAUCCAUGGACCAGCAUUGCAUCAGUUCAUGCAACAUACUGUACUUGCCCCGAUUAACUUUUAAUAUCUCAUUAUACUGUCCAUGAAAGCGUCCAAAAGAGAGAAAAGUUGGAAAAAGGGUUGCAAACAAGUAAAAUAAUUGACUGGCUUCAGAAACUGAAGUGAAGCUCUGCAGGUGUGUUGGAUAGAAACCAUAAACAUGUGGCAUAUUUUGUUAGACUGCAAGAGUCUGCAAUACAGAUGAGCUCCAAAUGAAAAGAAAAUAUCCCU